rnacentral:piRNA from 1 species
UCCCCCCGUGAUUAUGAGAGCUGCAGAAA